CUUUAAGAAUCCUAUUUGAAAAAGCUACAAUGUUAAAAAUUCAAGUCAAUGUUAAAAUGUUAAAAAUUUUUUGGUGGCAGUUGGUAGUCGUAAAAGAUUCGAAUCGUCAUGACUUCCCAACUCAAUUAAUUAAACUCCAUCUAAAUGCGGAAUAGAGUCGUAUAUAGAUACUGGAACAUUUAGAUAUGCAGUUUUAUCUUUAGAACUAUUGUCAGUGAAUCUGCAAGUUGAAAAAAAGAUAUUGUAUAUCUUACACGAGAUAAUGUUAGUUGCAUCGUGCACUGUGGACUGUGUCCUCUUACGGCACGUGGGAAAAAUACUAUCAAAUGUACUGUGCGAUCUGUAGGUCACUAUAACCUCAAAAGUUGCAUUAUGCAUAAUCAAUCUGUGAGAAGUACUCUUUGAGCGUAGUGUAGCUUUAAGAUAUAAUUGAUUGAAAUCUCAUUUACGGUUACCACUGCCAGAAUGGCAAUAAUGAAAAUAUUGUUAAGGCCAAACAUCACGAGGUUCACAGGAGUUCGACACUUGAGUUCUAAGCCAAAAUUUGGUUUACUUUUUGACAUUGAUGGUGUAAUAGUACGUGGAAAAAAUGUAUUACCUCCUGUGCCCGAGGCUUUUAAGCGACUUCAAGGAAAAGAUGGCAAAUUUCGUGUACCCACUGUAUUUGUCACUAAUAGUGGAAAUGCUCUACGCAGUCAAAAAGCAUUAGAUUUAUCCAAAUGGAUAGGAUAUGAAGUCAAAGAGUCUCAAGUAAUUAUGGCCCACUCACCAUUAAAAUUGUUUGAUCAUUUUCAUGACAAACAAGUACUAAUAUCUGGGCAAGGUCCAAUCAAAGAAAUAGCUAAGGAACUAGGUUUUCAAAAAACAGUAACCAUACAAGAAUUAGUUAAAAAUUUUCCAUCCUUAGAUUAUGUAAAUAUGAAAAAGAGAAAUCCGCAAUGUGGACCAAUAGAUCCAAACUUUCCCACUAUAGAAGGCAUUGUGUUAUUUAGUGAACCAACUUCUUGGGAAACUCCAUUACAAUUGAUGGUGGAUCUUUUAAUGACUAAUGGCAUGCCAGGUGGUUUGCUCAGUGAACUUCCUUAUCCACACAUUCCAGUCUUGGCAUGUAAUAUGGAUUUAUUAUGGGUGUCUGAAGCACCUAUCCCUAGAUAUGGUCAUGGUGCUUUCCUGCUCUGUCUCGAAUCCUUGUAUAAGAAAAUUACAGGAAAAGACUUAAUAUACUCUGCUCUAGUCGGAAAACCUAGUGAAAUCACUUACUAUCAUGCAAGUUAUAUGCUCCGUGAGCAUGCUAGAAGUAUUGGAAUAGAUCAUAACGUUGAUACAAUAUAUGCUAUUGGAGAUAACAUUAACACUGAUAUCUUCGGUGCAAAUUUGUACGAUAAAUAUCUAUCGCGUUGCACACAGGAAGAAGUAUUAAAGUCUGACAAAAUAAAAAAGCUGCUUGGGAAGGACGUCAAACCGCCUACUUCAAAAGCUUGUAUCAGUAUUCUAGUGGAAACUGGUGUUCAUCAGCGAGAUUCAAAUUUUAUAUCGGAACAUAGUCCUAGAGAUUUCAUACCAGUUGAAGACAGUUUAUGCAAGCCUGCAUUCAUAGUGAAACACGUCGGUGAAGCUAUUAAUCUUGCGUUUAAAGAAGAAAAAUUUGACUGAACAAAUAGAUUGAAGAUUCUUUUAGACUUGGAAUGUUCACAUUCUAAUGGUUAAGCAAGGAGAAGUAAAAAAUUGUAGAUUUAACUUUGCUAAUCAAGUAUUACGUUAUUUUCUUUAUUUAAAGGUAAAAUCAGUAAGAAGAAAUGAGAUAGGAUUGCAUGAGCAUAUUUAUUUUGCUUUUUUUUUCUACAUAUUUUUAUUUGAUCAAUUGAACUGAAUUCAUUAUUAUAAAUCAGUGAUAUACACAGCAUAGUAAUCGGCAGAAAUAUUAGAUACAAUUAUAAUGAAUUUUAUGUAUAUUUAAAAUUUCAUUAAUUUAUAUUAUAUAAGCAUAGUGUUUAGUGAACUAUUCAGAUAUAGCAUUACAUGUACAUAUGUACACUGGCAAGCCUAGUAGGCUUCCCUAGGAUAAAUGACAAUUAGAGAGAAGAGGCCUCGCCACUCGUUAAUUUUAAAAAUUUGGAAAUUUCUCUAUUUAGAACUGUUAGAAAUAUGAAAAUCUGGGAACUUACAAAUUUGGAAAUUUGAAAGUUUCAGAAAAUUUAAGCAGUAGGAUAUUCCUCCCUCUAUACUUGCCUCUAUGGAAAGGAAGUCUACAUGCCUCGCAGUGUACGCAUGCGAUAUAAAAAGAUACAUAUACACACACACACAUACUUGUACAUGUAUAUAGUAUCUGUAUAUGCCAGACAAUUUGUAAUCUACUUUUACCAUAUUUUAAUUGAUUUGUUAAUGAAUUUUAAUGUCUGAUUUAUAGUGUUUCAGAGUGAUUUUAUCAUACCGUGAUAUUAAUUCAUAUUUAUCAGUGAAAAACAAAAAAUCUUAUAUAGAUAGCGAAGCACGUAUCGUGUUUUAUUUAGUCAAAAAAAAUCUAUCGAUGCACUCGCUGUAUUAGCGCAUUAUUUAAGACUUUUGGUUUAGUAUCUCUCAUUGAAUACUGCUGUUUGGAUACUAAACUUCAUCUAGUCUCAACGAACAAUUUUAUCGUUAUGUACAUACCAAAUUAUAGCAGUAGCAAUCUGUAAUUCCUGUUAGUUUGAAAUGUGUAAAGCAUCAGCUAAGCCAUUCGUGUCAAUGAUCAUGUAACAAUACAAAUGUCCUAAUAUACAGCAAACGAGCUCUUAGAAAAAACAAAAGCGCACAUUGUACAAGAGUACUACGAUUCAACUGACUGUAGUUAGCUGGAGACAACAACAAAUGCACACUACAAAGAAGAAAAAACAUUGAGACCUGUGUCGAGGACGAAGACUGACCAUCUACGUCCAUAACUUGUUUUAAUUUUACAAGAAAUCAAAGUGAGGACAGGGAUAGUCAUUGCUCGACUUUCAUACUCUGUAGGAUAGUAUUCUGCAGAGUCAGAAAUGUUAUAGGUACUUUGAAAAGACUAAUAACGCUGUCUAAAACAGAAUGUCAUCGAACGAGAACUUAUAAGGAUUCAGUGAACGGUUGGUUGUACUCCAGGUUUCUUUUAGAGCGCAGAGAGUUCCUGAAUGUCCUAUUUGAACCUUAGAUGACUAAGAAGUGAACUCUAUCUUGACAGAGCGUCUGAGUCUCAC